GCACCAUCAUUUCUAAUCCUUGACCCACAAAAUAAGCCCUCUUGACGUCUCGUUACUCGUGUACACAUAUUCACAUGAAUCACAUCGAUAGCACAGCACACCCACUUCUUAAGAAAACCCUAAAACCUGCUCUGAGAGUGCAAUUCCAUCAAUCUUACUUAAAACUUUCCCUUAGCCAUGGACGCUCAGAGAGCUCUGCUUGAUGAACUAAUGGGUGCAACUCGUAAUUUGACGGAGGAAGAGAGAAAGGGAUUCAAGGAGAUUGCUUGGGAUGAUAAGGAGGUUUGUGCUUGCUAUAUGGUUCGAUUUUGUCCGCAUGAUCUCUUCGUCAAUACGCGGAGCGAUCUAGGACCUUGCCCUAGAAUACAUGAUCCAAAGCUGAAAGAAAGUUUUGAGAAGUCUCCAAGACAUGAUGCAUAUGUGCCAAAAUUUGAAGCUGAACUUGCUCAGUUUUGUGAAAAAUUGGUGAUGGACUUGGAUAGAAGAGUUAGGCGUGGGCGUUCUCGCCUUGCUCAAGAGGUGGAACCCACCCCAGCACCUCCACUAUCAGCUGAAAAAUCUGAACAGUUCUCCGUGCUGGAAGAAAAGAUAAAGAACUUGCUGGAACAAGUAGAGGCCCUUGGUGAAGCUGGGAAGGUUGAUGAAGCUGAAGCACUCAUGAGAAAGGUGGAGAUGCUAAAUGCUGAGAAGACAGCCUUGACCCAGGAACCCCAAAAUGAUAAAGUGCUAAUGCUUGCACAGGAGAAAAAGAUGGCUCUAUGCGAGACCUGUGGCUCUUUUCUAGUAGCAAAUGAUGCUGCUGAGAGAACCCAAUCUCACGUCACAGGGAAGCAGCACAUUGGCUAUGGCAUGGUCCGAGAUUUCAUUGCUGAGUACAAGGAAGCUAAAGAGAAGGCAAGGGAAGAGGAAAGAUUGGUUAGAGAGAAAGAAGCAGAAGAGCGGAGGAAGCAGAGGGAGAAGGAUAAUGAGAGGAGAAGUGGUUCGGGUGAUAGGGACAGGUAUCACGAUCGUGAUCGAGACAGGGAGCGGGAUAGAUACAGAGAACGAGACCAAGAUCGUGAAAGGUCAAGAGAUGGGAAUGUUAGAGGUGGUCGGGAUGGAGGGAGAGAGAUGGAUCAUAGGUCCAGGAAUGGCAGAGAAGGAGGCAGGGAUAGGUACCGUGAUCGGAGCAGGUCACGUUCACCUGUUAGGCGUGGUCACAGAAGAUCACCUAGAAGUCCAGUUCGCCUGUAUUAGUCGAUUUGUCGACAUAUGUCUGAGCUUUAAAAUUUAAAGAGGUAGAUUUUUUAAUCUUGAAACUUUUAUGAACGUGUUUGAGGAAUGUGUUAUCUUGUCAUCAUGGGUGAAACUAUUUUUUCCUAUCUCACAGCUUUGUUGAGACUAUACCAUCUCCCUUUCAUCAAUAUUAUUAAUGGAGAAAAGGGUUCAGGUAGGUAUAACUUCAUUGUUGAAUCUGAUUUUAUAAUAUGUUUUAUGUUUUUUGAAUUCUUUUUUUGGCGUAUUUGUCUCUGAAAGUCUACUAUCUCACUUAUUUUUUGGUAGUCAUCUUGGGCUAUAGACUUUGGUCUCAGUAUUUUAAGUGGUCGGAUUCAAAAAUUAUUUGCAUGAUUGCACUGCUGCUGAGAGAGAUGGUGUUUUCCUCUUGUUUGAGAGUUGUUCCCUUAGAAGAAAUGUUGUUUCCACAUGCAUGAGAGACUACUUCAGUGGGCUGGGAUGCGAUGUUGUGGGUUCCUGGAGGUAACCAAAAAUUACAAUCUACAGAAUAGCUUGUUUCUAUUUAGUUUGCAGGAUAAGGUAGGGAAUCUGGUGAGCCCUGAUGGUCAGAUUGCUACUAGUAAGUAGACAAUUUAUGCUAAGGAAUGAUUUGUGCAGGGGAAUAAACGUUUAUUGAGUAGUGGCUGCUUGUGGAACUACUUGUAUCCAAAGAAUACAGGAAAUGAGAAAAUCAAAUACAAUUUGCAUUGGGAAUCGGGGUGCACAGGUGCAAUGCUUGUCUGCAAUUGACCAGCUAAUAAUAUAAUAUUAUUUUGUCAUUAUAUGAAAUUCUCUGAUACUGUAAAUUAUUAGAUUGACAUUUACUUAUCAAAAAUAAAAUUAUCAGAUUGACAUUUUUGCAGUAAGUGAAGUGGUGUUGGAUCGAGGAAUAUGUGAUAGUAAACAGUGCAAUUCGUUAUGGAUGG